GCGGGGGCAACCCUGGCGGCGAGCGGCGGACGGGUGAGCAAUAUUUGGGAAUCUGCCUAUUAGUGGGGGACAACCCGGGGAAACUCGGGCUAAUACCGCAUACGCACUACGGUGGAAAGUCGGGGACCGCAAGGCCUGACGCUAAUAGAUGAGCCCAAAUCGGAUUAGCUAGUUGGUGAGGUAAUGGCUCACCAAGGCUACGAUCCGUAGCUGGUCUGAGAGGACGACCAGCCACACCGGAACUGAGACACGGUCCGGACUCCUACGGGAGGCAGCAGUGGGGAAUAUUGGACAAUGGGCGAAAGCCUGAUCCAGCGACGCCGCGUGGGUGAAGAAGGCCUGCGGGUUGUAAAGCCCUUUCGGUGGGGAAGAAAAGCCUCGAGUUAACACCUCGGGGUCUUGACGUAACCCAUAGAAGAAGCACCGGCUAACUCUGUGCCAGCAGCCGCGGUAAUACAGAGGGUGCGAGCGUUAAUCGGAAUUACUGGGCGUAAAGCGCGCGUAGGCGGCUUUGCAAGUCGGGUGUGAAAUCCCCAGGCUUAACCUGGGAACUGCAUUCGAGACUGCAUUGCUAGAGUAUGGGAGAGGGAAGUGGAAUUUCCGGUGUAGCGGUGAAAUACGUAGAUAUCGGAAGGAACAUCAGUGGCGAAAGCGACUUCCUGGACCAAUACUGACGCUCAUGUGCGAAAGCGUGGGGAGCAAACAGGAUUAGAUACCCUGGUAGUCCACGCCAUAAACGAUGACAACUGGAUGUCGGGAGGGUCUGCCUCUCGGUGUCGUAGCU
rnacentral:rRNA from 1 species